UACGGGGGGAGCAAGCGUUGUUCGGAUUUACUGGGCGUAAAGGGCGCGUAGGCGGUCAGCACAAGUCAGUUGUGAAAUCUCCGAGCUUAACUCGGAAAGGUCAACUGAUACUGUGCGACUAGAGUGCGGAAGGGGCAACUGGAAUUCUCGGUGUAGCGGUGAAAUGCGUAGAUAUCGAGAGGAACACCUGCGGCGAAGGCGGGUUGCUGGGCUGACACUGACGCUGAUGUGCGAAAGCUAGGGGAGCGAACGGG
rnacentral:rRNA from 1 species